UUUUGGGCGGGGGUCAAGAGCAAUAACGGAGAAUGUCUGUGAUGAACCAUUUUUCAUUAUUGCUCCUGACCUCCUCUCAUUUGCUCCCCGCG
rfam:Loxodonta africana unplaced genomic scaffold scaffold_5, whole genome shotgun sequence.